GGGGCCUUCUUCCCAUUUCUGUCCUCAGAGAAUAAGCUCAAGGGUAGGAUGGCUCAGAUGAGAAAUGGCAAUGGCACGAUAAAAUGGAAGUGCAGUGAGAAAGUGGUGUUUUCAUUCUGAAGUUCUAUAUACUUUCAAGAAUAAAAUGCACUGGACUUUUUGUACUGUAUCUUUUGUGCGCAUAACUGAAAAGAGAACCUAUGAGAGGAAACAAUCCAGUAACAAGACAGAAAGAAAAUAUACAAGAGGAAAAGUAAGACACAGUUGAAGAGUAGAGGGUGAAAAGAAACGAUUGUAAGAACUGUAGCAAAAACUAGGAAAAACUGUCUGUCUAGCUACUCUAGCACCACCUGACUGCCUUCCGAGAAAGCAUCCAAGAAGGAAACGGUUUGCUUUGUCAUCUUAUUCUAAAUUUAAAAUUAGAAAUCUUUGUACAGUAUAGUCUAUAGAGUAACUUGGAACCUUUCCUUUCCUUAAAAAAUUUCUGGCAAAUCAUUAAAAACAAACCUCUGGACUAAAAAUAACACAAAAUCCUCUAAGCCAUGUUUUACAAUAUAAAUGUUGCUUGAUAAGAGGUUCUUUAAGUGCCUGCCUGUCCCCUCCACUGCUUUCACACACAAGGAACAAAAGAAUCUCUAGGAAUAAAAAAAUGUACAUUUACUUCUGCUCUUCCUGCCCCUGAAUCCUCAUGGCUUUCAUUUCUCCAUGAAUCCCACCAUACACAAGGCUGGGCUAGAUUUCUGGAUUUCCUUACAGGAUAUGGAAUAUGGCCAUAUACCUUAGGCACCCACAUCAAACCAGAAGGCGGCACAUACUCUACAGUUUGCAAUCCAAUUCCUCAUUCUCACCCAUCCUCGUUGCUCAUCAUUUAUGUUAAGAAGGGAAGAUUUGGUUGGGGGUGGGGUGUUUUGGGAAGAAAGAUUAGAAUAAAAUAAGAACCAACAGCAACUAGUGGGGAGGGGAAGAAAAUAUAAUCUAGAAAAUAUAUAAACAAUGAAAGAAAUUAUGCAAGCAGCUGUAACUAAGACCGAAAAUUUCCACUGACUAUAAGAAAACCUGCCAAUAAGAUACUCAGGGCAGAAAGUGGAUGGAGUCUCUGGUCAACACAGCUCUUAAAACCUAAGAUAGCUUCCCAGCCAGCCUUCCUCCCGGUUCCUUGUCCUUACCCCUACCUUCUUCCAGUACUUUGAAAACAGGUAUCAACAUUGAUGUUUGAGGCCUGGCGCAGUGGCUCACUCUUGUAAUCCCAGUACUUUGGGAGGCUGAAGCGGGCGGAUCACUUGAGGUCAGGAGUUCAAGACCAGCCCGACCAACAUGGCGAAACCCUGUUUCUACUAAUAAAACAAAAAUUAGUCGGGCGUGGUGGAGCAUGCCUGUAGUCCCAACUACUCGGGAGGCUGAGGCAAGAGAACUGCUUGAACCCGAGAAGCGGAAGUUGCAGUGAGCCGAGAUCAUGCCACUGCACUCCAGUCUGGGCGACAGAGUGAGACUGUCUCAAACAAACAAACAAAAAGAACAAUGUUUGAGGCAGGGCAUGGUGGCAGGAGCCUAUAGUCUCAGCUACUGGGGAGGCUAAAGCAGGAGGAUCACUUGAGCUCAAGAGCCUGACAGCAACCUGGGUUAACAGAGCAAGACCCUGAAAAGCCUUCUAUGUAGUAACCAGACAAGGUACAGAUCUCCAUACUGGGCACCAUCAUAUAGAUGGCUAUUGCAUCACACAGACAACCUUCAUUAAAGGAAGACACCAAGACAGGAGCUGCUCAGGGGCCACUGGGCACUGCGGUUAGAAAGCCAGGACAAGACAGGAAAGUCAGUCUGCUUGUCAAGAAAAAAAUGAUGGAUCUGGUGAGGUAUAAUUCCUGCUAAAAAAAAGUUUGCCCUGGCUGGGCACAGUGGCUCACACCUGUAAUCCCAGCCCUUUAGGAGGCUGAGGCGGGUGGAUCACUUGAGGUCAGGAGUUCGAGACCAGCCUGGCCAACAUGGUGAAACCCCACCUCUACUAAAAAUACAAAAAUUAGCUGGGCGUGGUGGUAUGCACCUGUAAUCCCAGCUACUAGGGAGGCUGAGGCAGGAGACUCGCUUGAACCUGGGAGGCAGAGGUUGCAGUGAUCCAAGAUGGCGCCACUGCACUCCAGCCUGGGCGACAGAGUGAGACUCUGUCUCAAACAAAACAAAAAAAACCCAACAUAAUUAGAAACAAACCUACUGUAUACUAACCAGUCCUGAAAGGCAAAUGGUAUCUUUAUGUUCAACAGAUGUUUACCAGGGUCUUUAAAGAGCUAGAGCUCCUAACAACAACUCCACAGAAAGGAACAACAGAAACUAUUAAGAAAUAGUUCAUCCACCUAAGUUAUGAUUAAAUAAAGGAUUUAGGUCGGUCGCGGUGGCUCACACCUGGAAUCCCAGCACUUUAAGAGGCUGAGGUGGGUGGAUCACCUGAGGGUCAGGAGUUCGAGACCAAGCUGGCCAUCAUGGUGCAACCUGUCUUUACUAAAAAUACAAAAAAAAAUUAGCAGGGUGUGGUGGCAGGUGCCUGUAAUCCCAGCUACUAGGGAGGCUGAGGCAGGAGAACUGCUUGAACCCCGGAGGCAGAGGUUACAGUGAGCUGAGAUGGCGCCACUGCGCUCCAGCCUGGGUGAUGGAGUGAGACUCUGUCUCAAAAACAAACAAAAAAACACAAAAACAAUAGGGAAGAAAAGGAUUUAGUUAAAAUUUAGUAUGAAAACAAAACAACAGGUUGAAAGCCAUUCCCAGAGUUACACUUGAGUGCUGAAAGAAACCCAGAGCUUUUCAGUCCAACAAUUCGGCCCCACCUGCACGGUCUUCCUCAGCAUACCUCAGGUACAUUUCCUGACUGGCUCCCUGAUCUUCAAUUGAGAACGUUGUUGCAUCCCGGUUUAGAUGGUGGUAAGAGCAGAUCACUCUUCAUUGGCGACACAUCUGUCCUACUAGAGACUACAACCUCAGAGUUUUCUGCUGUGAAAUUCUUAUCAGAAGCCUGACUAUGGGCAGACAGAACAUGCAAUAUUCUGGGUACUCUAAAUUUACUCCUGAUCAUCAAAAGCUACAUAUUCGCAGAACUGCUUUCAAUGACUUGCGCUUUUGAAUUAUGUCACUGCUGGCCUAGAGUGGUGGAAGGAAACUUGCCAUUGUAAUGACUGAGAGAUUGUGACUUAACAGGUCCGGGGUGGGGCUGGACAUCUGGAUUUUUAAUAAGCUUGUCACAGAUGUGUCCCAAGGUUGAAAAUGACUGCCCUGUUUUGCAUAACGUGGAGGGUUGUUGAGACUAUUGUCAUGGUGUAUUUACUGUGUCCCCCUCUUAAAGAAGAGCCACAGGGGCAAUUUCCCUUAGGUCUCAGUCCUGAGCUGAUCUUACCAACACCGUGAAACUGACUGAUGGUGUUUAGAGGCAAACCUACCGCUCCUUUAAAACAUUUUUUUAUUCAUAAUCGACACACAGUAAUUAUUCCUACUGAUGGGGUGCGGUGUGCAGCAUGGAUGGACAUAUACAUUGCAUAGUGAUCAAGUCAGAGUGUUUAACAUGUCCUCGACCUCAAACGUAUUGUCUCUUGGUGCUCUGGAGGUCAAAAGAAAUGAGACUGCUGGGCUAAGAUCAAGGUGUCAGCAGGGCUGUAUUCCUUCCCAAGGCUCCAGGGGAGAAUCUGUUCACUUGCCUUUCCCAGCUUCUAGAGGUUGCCUACAUUCCUUGGCUUGCGGACCCUUCCUCCAUCUCCAGAAUCAGUAACGAAAGAUCCAAAGCCAUAUCCUGGCUGAGUUGGCUGAGUUGAGCAGGACACUGACAAGGAGGCUGCUGAGCCUGCAACUCGACUGUUCUGUUUGAGGAGCUCUGUGCUUUAUCAUAGAAAUGGAUCUGAGGUGGGGUGUUGCUUUGUCUUGUGAUCGCAGCUCACGGCAGCCUUGGACUCGUGGGCACGAGCAAUCCUCCCACUUCAGCCUCCCAAGUAGCUGGGACCACAGGUACAUGCCACUGCACCUGGCCUAGUAUUCUCUAUCAAAUACUUAUUCAACAGUUAAAAUCUAUAUAGACCUUUGAGAUAGGAUAAUAAAAUAUUAUAGCUUGUAAUAAUUUUUUCCAUACCUG